AACGAACGCUGGCGGCAUGCCUAACACAUGCAAGUCGAACGAGACCUUCGGGUCUAGUGGCGCACGGGUGCGUAACGCGUGGGAACCUGCCCUUAGGUUCGGAAUAACUCCCCGAAAGGGGUGCUAAUACCGGAUAAUGUCUUCGGACCAAAGAUUUAUCGCCUUUGGAUGGGCCCGCGUUGGAUUAGCGAGUUGGUAGGGUAAAAGCCUACCAAGGCGACGAUCCAUAGCUGGUCUGAGAGGAGGAUCAGCCACACUGGGACUGAGACACGGCCCAGACUCCUACGGGAGGCAGCAGUGGGGAAUAUUAGACAAGGGGCGAAAGCCUGAUACAGCAAUGCCGCGGGAGUGAUGAAGGCCUUAGGGUUGUAAAGCUCUUUUACCCGGGAUGAUAAUGACAGUACCGGGAGAAUAAGCUCCGGCUAACUCCGUG
rnacentral:rRNA from 1 species